rnacentral:ncRNA from 1 species
CGGGGAUCGUCAUCGAGCUGAACGUGUGCUCGAACUCGGAGGUGCCGUAGUUUCGGUGCUUGAUCGGUUGGAUCGUGAAGACGUACGACUACUUCCUCUACGUCGUGUCAUUGCUUCCGCAGUCGGUCUGCGUUGGGUACGUAGACAACACUCUCCUCUCGUUGCUAUGCAUCACAUGAUCCUGUGUGCGCAUAGGAAAAUUUUUAAAAUUACUACGAAACCCAACACAUACAACUCCCCGUUGUACUGCGCUCUUCAAGUCUGCUUCUCCCCCCUUCUCCCUCUUACCAUGUCAAGUCCUUGGGAAAUAACUCCGAUGGGCAGAAAAAGGAAGGCGUAGCCAAGUCAUCAUGCCCCUUAUGCCUUGGGCGACACACGUGCUACAAUGGGCGGGACAAAGGGUCGCGAUCUCGCGAGGGUGAGCUAACUCCAAAAACACGUCCUCACUUCGGAUUGCAAGCUGCAACUCGCCUGCAUGAAAGAGGAAUCGCUAGUAAUCGCCGGUCAGGCAUACGGCGGUGAAUGGAAGAAAGAAUUGAUAGUCCAAUAGCGGCUUCAGCAACCACAAGGGCUAUAACAAAAAUUGCGAAAAUAUCUCCUUU